CGUGAGGGAGGAGGCUCUUGGGUCGUAAACCUCUUUUCUCAGGGAAGAAACAAUGACGGUACCUGAGGAAUAAGCAUCGGCUAACUCCGUGCCAGCAGCCGCGGUAAUACGGAGGAUGCAAGCGUUAUCCGGAAUGAUUGGGCGUAAAGCGUCCGCAGGUGGCUGUGUAAGUCUGCUGUUAAAGAGUCUAGCUCAACUAGAUAAAAGCAGUGGAAACUACACGGCUAGAGUGCGUUCGGGGCAGAGGGAAUUCCUGGUGUAGCGGUGAAAUGCGUAGAGAUCAGGAAGAACACCGGUGGCGAAGGCGCUCUGCUAGGCCGCAACUGACACUGAGGGACGAAAGCUAGGGGAGCGAAUGGGAUUAGAUACCCCCCGUAAACGAUGGAUACUAGGCGUG
rnacentral:rRNA from 1 species